AGUACGAAGAGAGAGAAAGUAGAUCUGGUUUCUCAAUUCUCCAUCUUCUACCUCCGAGCAUCAUCCGGCGACAUCGCCACUACCAAUGGACUCUUCGGCCUCCAAUUAGUUGACCCAGGCUGCGUCAUCCAACGAUAUCGAAAGUCAGCACCACAUGUUUCCGACUGCGAAUCCGGAUCUACACCCAACAGAGAUCACAGAAUCGGGAGCGAUUUGGGGAUUUAGGGUUUCGAAAUCGAAAGCGUCGUCGUUUUCGAAAUGGCGUUGGGCAAGGUGAAGGAGCUCGUCUCGUCCAAUCCGGUAGUCAUCUUCAGCAACAAGCUUUGUCCUUACUGUGUUUGCGUGAAGUAGCUCUUCGUUCUAAAAUUGGGAGUCCAGUACAAGGCCAUUGAAUUGGACCAAGAGAUGUCUGUCUAUAUAUGCUUCAAACUAAGGGCAAUAGAAUGGUGUAUUUCGGUGAUAUGAACUGGUUCCCACUCCUCAAGCGAUCCAAGACUGUACAAACAAAGACUCUAAGCAACAGAUUAGCCACUUUAUUUUCAGGGAGAGGAGACUAGAGUUGUUUGCAAACUGGAGAGCUAAGGGUGGUGUUUUCUUGAUUGGCUACUCCAUUUUCAGAAACUUAUCCCUUGGAACCUUGACUUGAGGAACCCUUUUGUGGAGCAAGCAGUGCAGUACUGUGUGGCUGCUGCUCGAGCAACACUUGACAAAGACAAGAAGGAUUCGUUAGAGAAAUUACCAUUGCAAGGAAACGCAACACCCUGUAACAAAAUAAAGAUGGAUGACAUAGAGACACAUCAUUGGAAAAUAUAAAACGUCAAAAGGAGGGAAGAAUAGGUUAUAUAUGAACGCAUUAGUUCCAUUUGACUUCAGUUUUUCAUUACUUGUCUUCCUUUUUAUUUCAUAAAGUAAAUAGGAGAAAUGCCAGUUUUAGCAACAGGUAAGCAUAUACAAGUAAUUAUUUCUUUAACUGAAAAAUUUAACUUCUUCCUUGCCAUUUUUCUUAGGAUCCUGCAUAUUAUCUGCUUAAAGAAGAUGAUUCCCCUUGCAUCUUUGGGUCUAUUGAGAAGCAGAGAUGGUCAUAUGCAUGUGCAAAGCAAUUGAUCGAAGGCUGAUAUAUGGGUCUCCGUGUAUGCAUAAAAUCUUCUCUUCUGCACACACAUGCUGCCAAAUCCCUUGUUGGUUUCUGGUCUGCUUAAAGAAGCUUUCUGGAUAAAAUGGUGAAGCUGUUUAUCUUCGCAGAUAUCCGUAAUUUCCUUAAUGUGGCUAGUGGAUGAUGAUGUUGUACAAGAUUAUGAUUACCAAGGUUGUUUGGUUCUUUUAUACUGAAAAAUGGUUUCAACAAUGAAGAAGUCGAUCUUUGAUGAACAAACUAACAAGGCCUUAAGGAAAUUGCAAAAGAAUGCUCAAAAGAAGAGAAGGCAUCAUGAUGUGGUUCGAGCUGAAUGGGCAAAUCAUGUUAUACAGUUCUAACUUUGGUUCUGUUUAAGGUAGAUGAGUAGCACUUAGAACUGCUUUUGUGCAUUUAUAUACAACUGAUGGAAAGUGUUGGUGAGCUUAAAUUAUGCAUGCAGUUGCUCUGUCUAGCUACUCUUUCUUUACCUUAUAGGUUUUUGACUUGAUGCACUAGGUAAAUGAUCGAGAUAAGAUGGUUUUUUGGUUCUCUCGAUCAUAAUGUAACUGUUGGCUAGGUUUAGAGUUGGAACUAUGGAUUGUAUUUUGGAUGAUGUUGAUGCAAUUAAUGAAACGUAGCCAUCAUUUUCA